rnacentral:rRNA from 1 species
UACGUAGGGUGCAAGCGUUGUCCGGAAUUAUUGGGCGUAAAGAGCUCGUAGGCGGUCUGUCGCGUCGGAUGUGAAACCCCUGGGCUUAACCCUGGGCCUGCAUUCGAUACGGGCAGACUAGAGUUCGGUAGGGGAGACUGGAAUUCCUGGUGUAGCGGUGAAAUGCGCAGAUAUCAGGAGGAACACCGGUGGCGAAGGCGGGUCUCUAGGCCGACACUGACGCUGAGGAGCGAAAGCGUGGGGAGCGAACAGG